rnacentral:rRNA from 1 species
AUUCAACGGCCGCGGUAUCCUAACCGUGCGAAGGUAGCGUAAUCACUUGUUCUUUAAAUAAGGACUAGUAUGAAUGGCAUCACGAAGGUUAUACUGUCUCCCCUUUUUAAUCAGUGAAACUAAUCUCCCCGUGAAGAAGCGAGGAUAAAACUAUAAGACGAGAAGACCCUAUGGAGCUUUAGACUAAGCAACUUUUGUUAUUCAAACACUUAUACCCUCCGGAAAUUCAACUAUAUUUUCUCAUAUUGUUUGCCUGUCUUAGGUUGGGGUGACCGCGGAGCACAACAUAACCUCCACAAUGAAAGAAACUUAAUUUCUUAACCCAGAAUUACAAUUCUAAGUACCAAAAAUUUGACAUAAAUUGACCCAAUAUAAUUGAUCAACGAACCAAGUUACCCUAGGGAUAACAGCGCAAUCUACUUCAAGAGCCCCUAUCGACAAGUAGGUUUACGACCUCGAUGUUGGAUCAGGGUAUCCUAGUGGUGCAGCCGCUACUAAAGGUUCGUUUGUUCAACGAUUAA